GCCCACUCACUUCUCCAAGCUGCUGCAAGCGGAAUCGGAGGCGGCAGCCCUGAUUGCUCCGUUCCUUGCCCAAUGAAAUAAAGGCAUUUUUCUGCUCUCCCAGCUCAGCCUCUUGUUUAUUGGCUGUGACAAGUCACUCCAAGCAGAACCUGGGUUUCUAACCGGCAACGUUUCCUGUGCGUAUUUUUUCAGGUGGAAUGGGAAGAAACUGCUGUGGACCCAUAUCACCGAAAGCAGGAUGGAUGAGCAAUGGGUGUUUGCCAGGAAUUCAAAGGAAUCUGCAGCUCUAACAACUUUGCUGCUGAGGAGGUCAACUACUGGCAAAAGAGAUGCCGGAGCACUUACAGAUGAAGAUCAAAGACCACAGCCUUCAGUACGGAUUACACCUCAACAUAAAGAAAACAGAAAUCCUCACAACUGGGCCAAUAAGCCAAAUCAUGAUAAAUGGUGAAAAUAUUGAAAUUGUCAAGGAUUUCAUUUUACUUCAAUCCACAAACAACGCACACAAAAGGAGCAGUCAAGAAAUCAAAUGACAUUGGGCGAAUCUGCUGCAAAAGACCUCUUCGAAGUAUAAAAAAGCAAAGAUGUCACUUUAAGAACUAAGAUGCACCUGACCCAAGCCAUGGUGUUUUCAAUCACCUCAUAUGCAUGUGAAAGCUAGACAAGGAAUAAGAAGUACCAAAGAAGAAGAAUUGAUGCCUCUGAAUUAUGGUGUUGGUGAAGAAUAAUGAAUAUAGCAUGGACUGCCAGAAGAACAAACAAAUCUGUCUUGGAAGAAAUAUAGCCAGAAUGCUCAUUAGAAGCAAGGAUGAGACUUCAUUUCACAUACUUUGGAUAUAUUAUUAGGAGAGACUAACCCCUGAAGAAGGACAUCAUACUGGGUAAAGCAGAGGGUCAGCUAAAAAAGAAGAAGACCUUCAAGGAGAUGGAUUGACACAGUGGCUGCAACAACGGGCUCAAGCAUAAUGAUUGUAAGGAUGGCACAGGACUGGGCAUUGUUUCAUUCUGUUGUACUUGGGGUCACUACAAGUUGGAACUGACUUGAUGACAUCUAACAACAUACAGCAGACUCAUAGAGGCCCUAUGUAGAGGUUAGAAUCCACAACACAUAAAAUGGAGGAUAAUCUACUGUACAUGGAAUCAUGGCCCAGUCCAGUUGACACAUAACCCCAACCAUCACAGGCUCCAUGUACCUUAUUUGCAUAUUCCCAUUCAUUUAUUGUGUAUGAGUCACAAAGACCAUGGCUAGAAGGACCAUAUUAAGUAAUUCAUUGCGUGGCACUUGAGUUUGGGGUACAAAUUAUCAAAUAGAUUUAAGAAAACAACAACAGCCUAUUGCAGUCAAGUCGAUUCUGACUCAUAGAGACCCUAUAGGACAGAGUAGAACUGCCCCACAGGGUUUCCAAGGAGCAGCUAGUGGAUUCAAACUGCCAACGUUUUAGUUAGCAGCUGAGCUCUUUCUUAACCACUGUGCCACCAGGGCUCCAAAGUAGAUAACAGUGCUUAUUAUAUGUCAAGUGUUAUCUCAAGAACUGUACAUGGAGAAACUCAUAUAAUUCUCUCAACUUCUGUGAUAUAAGUACUAUUAUUAUUUUCACUUUAUAGAACCCAGAAAAUUUGAGGACGUAACCCUGGCAAAUUGGACAGAUCACAUUCAAACCUUCCAGAGCCAAUGACCUUGGCUAUGAUGCUACGCUGACUCUGUGAAUACACCAUGCGUCAGGGCAUUUCUCCCAAACGUGGUGACAACAAAUGAUACUUGAGAAACAUAGUAUAGUACUUCUUGUCACUAAAUCAGGGAAUAGUUAUUUGCUGAGCAACUGUUUUUUUUCCCAGGAAAAUACUAUGCUCUGUGAUGAAAUGCCCUUGAAUACUUAUUAAAAGAAUGCUGUUGCAUAUUGUCAUCUCUGUAUUUGGAUAUUUGGAUCAUUUCAUAAGAGGAAAAUCAUUCCAUUUCUAUUUCAACCAAUGUCAAGAAAAUGCUCUGUUUAAUAUACAUUUAUUGUUUUCAUAGUUUAUUAUCCUAGGACCUUAGCCUAAUCCACAACAACAUUGGCCAAGCCUAUAUAAUUUGUAACAAUAGGCCUCAGGCUAUUUUCUUAUUCACCUACACAAACUCUAACUAAGCUGUUGGUAAGGUCUUUCCGAUUUUUUAGUCCACCUUGUUAUUUGCUUUUGCUUUCAUUGCUAUUUUGAUUCAGUAUAUCAUAGUGAUUUUAAUUUGUGUACUGCCAACCUGUGUGAAGUUAAGCACAUUCCUAACUGUGCUAUGCCUUAGUUUUCUCAUCUCUAUAAUGGGCAUGACAGCAUGUGUUGAUGGGAUAUUUGGGAAGAAUAAAUGACAUCACUAUUGCUGGAAGCUAGUACUUAAUAAGCAGUGUUUUUAUUAUCAUUGUUGUAUUUUUAUGCUUUAACUUAAUUUUUUGUUUAUAAGUUAUGUGUGAUAACUUGGAUAUCUCUCUCGUGACUACAUUUGUAGGCCUGCGAUUCUCCAGCGCUUGUUUCUCUGAUUCUCUGUUACUUGCUCAUUGUAAAAACAUGGAGCACUUACUUUGUUUCCAGCAUGGGAGCCAAGUGCUUGAUACACACACACACACACACACACACACACACACACAACAGAAACAAAACGAAAGCUUUGCUGGUCCUGUUGCCUUUCCUGUGUUUGAUUUACUAAUAAACAUAAUUCAGGUUCGAUUAGUACAUUACACAGAUUAUUAGGUAAACCGUUAUAGAAAAAGAGACUGCGAUGUCCUUCUCGGUCUGAGUACAUUUCACCUGAGGGGGCAAGGCAUGUCAUUGAGUAACAAGAUAGAUAUACCGAAUACCUCCUUCCAGUUCUAGUGAUAUAAAUAUGUAAAUCAUAGAUCAUUUCAAAGUAAUUUUUCUUGUGAAAUGUUUUUCUGUCUUCUCUGAAUUGGCCAAUUUUGGAGGGCUUCUCAGUUCCCUUUUUUUAGGUCUUUUUAUUUCUCAAAUCAGCGUACAACAAACCUUAAUGAAACACACAGGUGUAAAAUAUUUGGAAUCUCAUGAGCUUUUGUUUUCAUGGGUUCAGUGGAAGAGAAACCCAAUACUUGUUGGAUCUGGGAGAUUCUGGCCCUUGAAUUUGGCACUGAAGUGAGCAGCACAGUUAAUGUUGCACUUUAUUUCAAACGCACACACACAAGCACACUGUUUUUGAAAGGGAGCUAUCUAUGGUGGAGAAAAGGUUUCUUUUAGAUGAAGGGAAUAGGAGUUACUUAGGAAUGACAUGUUUGACUGAUUUUUUGAUUGCUCAUUAAACUAGAUAUAAACAUGUAUUUGAAUUGUAGAAUUGAGUUUAGGAAAACUGAAAUAUCCAGUCUUCUGGCUGCUGCAAAUGGUUAAACACAGGACUACUUAAUGAAAUGUUUUAGAUUCAAACCCACCCAGAGGCUCCUUGAAUGUAAAGCCUAGAGAUAUGUUUCUGAAAGAUCACAGCCUUGAAAACCCUAUGUAGCUGUUCUCCUCUGCACACAGGGUGUCACAGUGAGUGGGAACUGACUUAAAGACAAACAACAACAGCAAACAUAAAAAUAUUCACAAGACAUAGUUGUGAAACUGAGAGGUGUGUCUUUGCAUUAUUGCCUUGAUUACUGUGUUACUUUUCCAUUUGAUAUCUGAUGUUGUACACAAUCUAUGGGGACAUAUUUAACUUCUAUUUUAUAAAGUAAUUUUCAUCAAAUAUUGUUCAUUACCAUAUUCAGUAUUCGGAGUUGGGUCUGACACAUAACUAUAGCUAUCCAUUUCCUAUUUUUGGAGGAGGAAUGAACGUAGAAAAUAGAGUGACCAAGAGCAGGAACCAAGCAAUCAGAAUAUGAAACUCAUUUAAGAAAUAUAGGAGUUAGUGGCCAAAUUGGGAAUAGUACAGAGACUAGGUCAAAAUAAAUGCUACAAAUAUUAGUAAUUAUCACACUAAGCCAGGCAUCAGUCAGGAUCCUCUCUAACCUUUCAGAUAUACAUAAAAAAAUGUCUGGAAUGUCCUAAAUUUCCUAUCAUUUGGAUUUCCAACACCUUGGAAAGGAUUUCAAGUUUCCCAAAUGAAUAUAUUAUACUUUUAAAAUGGUUGUAGAUUUUCAAAGUCAAAAGCUUUAUUUUUCAUUCUGUAUUCUCCAUCCUUUUACAUUUCAGAGCAUAUUGGAGGUGUUCAAUUAAGUUGCAGGGAUGGUAAUAUCUCAGAUUGUAAGAUCUCUAGUGCAUGGGAACGUUUAAGACAACAAUCUUUAGACAGAAGUGAGUUAAAUCCUAACUGGUUUAAAAGAGUUUCUCUGCUUAAUGAGAAGACUCCUUAAACCGUUCUGUGGAGUAAUAAAUUUGGUAAACUUAAUUAUAAAUUAACAAUGUAUUAUUGUUAUCAACUAAGAAGUAGCAUGAGAAAAGACAACACACAUAUUGAAGUCUUUUUUUUUUAUCUAAUGUAAAUUACGGAGAGGCAUAUCAGGGAGUGUCUGAAAAAAUUGACUACUAGGAGAGAUAUAAAUUAAGCAAUUAGAAAGCAAUAAAGCAUCAGCGUUAUUUAGACUAUAAGGAAAGACAACCAAGAAAGAACGGUAAAACACAGGACAGUUGAAAUGAAGCAAGUCACUUGAAAAACAAUGACACUUCCACAGUAUGCGAGGCAACUAAAACUGCUUCUUGAUCUUAACACCAAAGAGAAACUAAUUUUUCUCUUACAUUGGUCUGUCUACUACCAUGAAUUAUCUUCUGCCAUGAAUAGACAGUAUAUCUUUGUUUUUAUAUUGGACAGUGUGAGCAGAAAGCUAGGGGCAGGUGGCCUUAAGGUCAAAAUGUCAGAGAUGACAUGGAUCUCGCCUCUAUUCUCAUCUUGCCUUAUUUAUUUUCUAAAAGAGUCACUUUAUUUAAAAGGGAUAAAAAUGAUGCAAUCCUGCAGUUAUUUACUUGAGUAAUAAGAGAGCUAACAAGCAUAGCUAUUAGACUCCAGAUCAUCUGAUCUUUGACAGGAAGCAUCACGAAAGGUGGCUGCCUGGACCGUCUGUCUCAAUACAGCGAUACAUUUUGAGACUUGAGAGUUUUCUUUUGCAUUUCUUAACUCUGUUCCUGUUACUUUAGAUGAGGAUGUUUUGAACCUACCAUCUGCAUGUUCUAAGUAACAUUCACUUCAAUAAAUUCAAUAAAAUGUCAUAGUGGUGUAUUUCUGACUCUGUCAGUAACCAAAAUAUGUUAUUUUCCCCCUUAAAUGUGUUUCAAU